rnacentral:rRNA from 1 species
AUGCUCCUCGUCGGUGCCAUGGCCGUGGCCGUUAUGCUCGUCGGUGCCGGCGCAGGCGCGGCCGGCCAGCUGAGGAUGGGGUUCUACGCCAAGAGCUGCCCGGCGGCGGAGCGGAUCGUGGGCGACUACGUCCGGCUGCACGUCCGGCGCGUGCCCACCGUCGCGCCCGCGCUGCUCCGGACGCACUACCACGACUGCUUCGUCAGGGGCUGCGACGGCUCCAUCCUGCUCAACUCCACCGCCGCCGGCGCGGCGGAGAAGGACGCUCCGCCGAACCUGACGCUGCGGGGGUUCGACCUCAUCGACCGCGUCAAGGGCCUCGUCGAGGAGGCCUGCCCCGGCGUCGUCUCCUGCGCCGACGUCCUCGCGCUCGCCGCCCGGGACGCCGUCGCCGCCAUUGGCGGGCCGUCGUGGCGCGUGCCGACGGGGAGGAGGGACGGCACGGUGUCGACCAUGCAGGAGGCGGUCCGCGAGCUGCCGUCGCCGUCCAUGACCUUCCCGCAGCUCGUCGCCCUCUUCGCCGGCAAGGGCCUCGACGUGCGCGACCUCGUCUGGCUGUCAGGUGCGCACACCAUCGGCAUCGCCCACUGCUCGUCCUUCGCCGACCGCCUCUACAGCUACCCCACCGCCGGCAACGGCACCGGGGCCGUCCCGCCCCUCGACGCCGCCUACGCGGCCAACCUGCGGCAGCGCAAGUGCAGGAUGGGCGGCCGCGACGCCGCCGUGGAGAUGGACCCCGGCAGCUUCCUGACGUUCGACCUCGGCUACUACCACACUGUGCUCAAGCACAGGGCCCUGUUCCGGUCCGACGCCGCGCUGGUCACCGACCCCGCGGCGCGGGCCGACAUCGCCGGCGUCGUGUCAAGCCCGCCGGAGGUGUUCUUCCAGGUGUUCGCGCGGUCCAUGGCGAGGCUGGGCGCCGUGCAGGUCAAGACCGGCUCUCAGGGGGAGAUCAGGAAGCACUGCGCCGUCGUCAACAGCUAG